rnacentral:rRNA from 1 species
GGUUUCUUGAUUUAUUUAGGAGAUUUAACCUGCCCACUGAGUUGUUGUUGAAGGGCCGCAGUAUGGUGACUGUGCAAAGGUAGCAUAAUCAUUAGUCUUUUAAUUCGAGGCUGGAAUGAAUGGUUGGACGAAGUAAAAACUGUUUUAUAUUAAUUGAGGUUGAAUUUAGGUUUUAAGUAAAAAUACUUAAAUUGAAUUAAGGGACGAGAAGACCCUAUAGAGUUUAAUAUAUGAAAUUUUAAUUGAGUUUGUAAUUAAUUUUUGGUUAAUUAUGUAUGUAUAUUUAAUUGGGGUGAUUUUAAGAUACUAAAAACUCUUUUUUGAUUUAUAUGAGUUAGUUAGUUGUAGGAUCCAUCCGUAAUGAUUAUAAGAUUAAAUUACCUUAGGGAUAACAGCAUAAUUCUUUUUGAGAGUUCCUAUCGAAAAGAGAGAUUGUGACCUCGAUGUUGGAUUAAGAUAAGUUUUGGGCGUAGGUGUUUAAAAAAGCUAGGUCUGUUCGACCUUUAAAUUCUUACA